UACGUAUGGAGCAAGCGUUAUCCGGAUUUACUGGGUGUAAAGGGCGUGUAGCCGGGCUGACAAGUCAGAUGUGAAAUCCCGCGGCUUAACCGCGGAACUGCAUUUGAAACUGUCGGUCUUGAGUGGAGUAGAGGCAAGCGGAAUUCCGAGUGUAGCGGUGAAAUGCGUAGAUAUUAGGAGGAACACCAGUGGCGAAGGCGGCCUGCUGGACGACAACUGACGGUGAGGCGCGAAAGCGUGGGGAGCAA
rnacentral:rRNA from 1 species